rnacentral:tRNA from 1 species
GGAACCAUAGUUAAUAAUAACAUUUGAGUUGCAUUCAAAAAGUACUACUCUAAGUAGUUAGUUUCA